GAUGAACGCUGACAGAAUGCUUAACACAUGCAAGUCGAUGGGGAAGUGGUGCUUGCACCAUGGUAACCAUGGCGGACGGGUGAGUAACGCGUAAGGAACUUGCCUGCGGGACUGGGAUAACAGCAGGAAACUGCUGAUAAUACCGGAUAAGGUCAUUAAGCUGCAUAGCUUAGUGAUGAAAGGAGACGCCUGCGGAGAGCCUUGCGUCCUAUUAGCUAGUUGGAGGGGUGACGGCCCACCAAGGCGAAGAUAGGUAGCCGGCCUGAGAGGGUGGACGGCCACAAGGGGACUGAGAUACGGCCCUUACUCCUACGGGAGGCAGCAGUGGGGAAUAUUGGACAAUGGGGGCAACCCUGAUCCAGCAAUUCUGUGUGCACGAAGACGGUUUUCGGAUUGUAAAGUGCUUUCAGCAGGGAAGAAGGAAGUGACGGUACCUGCAGAAGAAGCGACGGCUAAAUACGUG
rnacentral:rRNA from 1 species